rnacentral:misc_RNA from 1 species
AUAGACCUGAUCUGUCAAGACUCAAGAUACAAGAUAUAAACAUGUAACUCUUAUUUUAUACAUAGAUCCCAACAUUCAUGUUAUAUAUUAAAUCCAAUAGUCAUGGUAUUAAAUAAAUUGAGGAUUCAUCACCAGUGUAGCAAAUCAACCCUUAAUUCCCAAAGCUGAAACAAAUGUGAAGGGCACUGUAUAAUGAAAGAAAAUGAAUUCUGACCUU